ACCACAUACAGCGCCAGCAGAGACAUGGAAGCCUGGGAAUCUGGAGAAGAAAGGAUUACUAUUGGACUAUAUGAACUACAAUUCCCUCUUUCUUGGUGAAAUCUGUCCAUCAAGUAGUGUGCCAUUGUUUGAACACCUGUGGAUCGGAUGUGGAGAACCACUGGAGAGCUUACCAGUCACAGAAUCCAGACCAGGAAUUGCUUUUGGAGUGGCACAGUUCUUUAAAGUGGAC